UCCUAUAUGUUGUCACACAUAAUUGCUGGGGUAGUUUAGCACUGUCCAAGUGACCCCCUGGGAGAGGACAACUGGAAAUGUAUGCCUGGUGUUUUCCUAGACCUCGACCUACACACCCUUUUCCUUGGCUAAUCCUAAUCUGUCUCCUUUUGCUGAAAUGAACCAUAAGCAUGAGUAUAACAGCUUUUCUGACUUUUGUGAGUCCCUCAAGUGAAUCAUCAAACCUAAGGUAGUCUUGGGACCCCCAUCAUAGAGAGUCAAACCAGGAACAGGGCAAGAAGAGCUUUUCCUGGAAGGCUAAUGAGUCUGAACUUCACCCUGGAGGUAAUCGUUACAGUAACUCCAGGCUCUAACCUGAAGCUGGCAUGACAAAGCCAAAUGUACACUUCUAGAAGAUACUUUGGACUGCAGUGGGGAAUGAAUGGGGGAGCUAGGGGAGCAGAGGUGAAGCAGGGAGACCAAGACCUGGGAGAAGACGGCUGAACCAGUCCAGGUGUCUAGGAGUCCAUGUCAGCUACUGUCCCUCCACACCACAGACCAGACAUCACAAAGAGUGGCCAGGCCUUCUGAGUGAAGGUGAUCCAACCUGUCACUAAGCCUUAGGGCAAAUCCUGGCUGUGCUGUGGUGACUCCAACAACCCCAAACAGCAGCUCAGAGGCUGCAGCCGCCCUCAGAGGCAUCGCUGGGAAAUGCUCAUUAGCAGCCUUUCAUUGCUCACCCGCCCCAACCCACCUCUGCGCAUCCCAAACCAUCAGCCAAGUGCACAGCUGGCUUCCAUCCUCAGAGCCUUCCUCCUUCAUUUGCCUAUUCAACAGUUACAAAGGCCUGAGCUGCAGAGGGGCCUUGAAAAACCCAUUCUAUCCAGAAGAAAGAGAACUGAGAGUGAGCAAGACAGAGAAUAGGUAGAAGCGGGGAGGAAAACAAGAAAUCUCUAGAUCUCAAAUGAGGACCCUGAUGUAGCAAGAGCCUCUUUUAAAUCCUUUUCCAAUAGGGUAAUAUGGAAAAUGGUUGAAAGUACAAGCCAACUGGGGUUCGAAUCUCAAAUGGGCCAUUUACAGCUGUGUGACUGAACAAGUAAUUUCAUAUUUCUGAGCCUCAGUUUUCUCAUCUAUAAAAUAGAAAAAUACCUAUACCUAUGUCAUAAGGUUAAGAUAUGGAUUAGAUGAGCUAAGAUCUAAAAUGUCUUCUAUUCAGUAAGUGCUCAAUAAAUGUUAUCUCUUUUUA